AUGUAUCUUUGUUGCUGAUGAUGUCACUCACAGACCAGUGGUUAGGCAUUCACCUGGAACACGGGAGAUGGCGCUUCCCAAAAUCCUGCUCUGAACCAAGCAGAAGGAGGCCUCGAACCCUCAUGUCCCUGUAUUGAGAUGAAUGUCAUCAUUACGAAGACAUGGUGGGAAUGCUGCAUCUACUCUCCCAGUGUUUUGUGCUGAACCAAGUCGUCUGGGCUAAGCAAGAGACCAGAAGGUAUGAAGGACGCAGCGGGAAGCCCUCUUUUGCUCACCAGUUAUCACAGCAGGACUUAAUGCUGCUACUGCAGUUUCAUGAGGCAGAGCUAAUUGCAGUAGGGAUCCUACGACGACGAUGUCUUGCAGGAAUGGAGGCAAUAAGCUCCAUAUGAGAAGGUGGUCUCCUGCCUUUAGACCUUGGGAGUAGUGUCUUCAGGUUCUCAUCUGUGGUUUUACCAACUCAAUGGGCCCCGCUACCUUUUAUGUGGCGCUCAGGGUACAGAGCUGCGUACCCGGUACACAUCGGUAGCUCCAGUCCUCAUUGAUCCUUGUGAUGGCAACAUCAAGUCCUUCAGAAUCUGAUGGAUUUAUCCCGAUGCCACCUCACAGCCCUGCAACCCCUAUUUGCACGCAGGGAAGCGAACUGCUGAGCUGAGAGGACAGAUCUGAGAUUUCUCUGGGCUUCUGGGAUAGAGUGGCUGGUUAAACUCAAGUCUCCUAAAUCUCUUGCUUGAACCUAAUCAGUUUUUUGGGAACAUAAACAUUUUGCAUGUUAAUGAAGUGCUGUUUGGUAAUGGAUGACACCUACAAAUAUGGGGUUUGAGCACAGGAGUAACUCAGUGGGCUUUUUUCCCGCGAUUGAGACAUCAGUCUCUACAGCCCCUUAAACACAAACUGGAGUACAAUACAUUAAUAUUUUAUGUACUUUUAAUUGAACAGGACUGUUACAGAGUUUGCUGGUUGCAAGCCUCCAUUAAUAUCCACAUUUCACGUGUGGAAAUCUGUGAAACUGAAUCCCUCCUGCAAAAUUACACCAAGCCAUCUUUCAUCCUGUUACUUAGCAAGGACCUUUGGUCCUUGUUUCUCGCCUCUUUUCCUCAGCUAUAGCACUUGUCAG